rnacentral:lncRNA from 1 species
AAAGAUGGAGAGAAAGAGAGAGAAUAAAAGAAAAGAGGAAAAAAAGGACCAACGAGCGGCCAUCUUGCCGCACAUUGCAUGCGCUGUGGUUGCAAGCCGAGUUUUAAUAGAACGAAAGUGAUAGCGAAACAUGCAGAUCAGAUGACUAGGGAAAUUGUAGAG